AAUAAAAAUAUAUUUUUGUUCUGCAUUGGGCCCACCAAUGCAUGUAACCGACCCUGGUGUCUGACUAUUUCAGUGGUAAGCACCCUCUGUUUUUCGUUUGAAACUUCACGAAGCGCAUAACCUCAACAUGCUAAAACUUUUUAAAUACAUUUUGUGAACAUUCUAAAGAAAUGGCUCUGCUAUUUAAUAAAUUAAGAUUAGGAGAACUCGUAAAAGUAUCGGUUAGGUGCAAACACGGACCAAAUCAUUGGACUGUAUUAAGGAAAAAGAAAACUGCAAAAGACAAAGCAUUGAAACACUUUGAUGAAUUUUAUGGGUCUGUAUAUGGAGAUAAUUGGCAGUUCAUACGGGCUGCAUUACUGAAAGAAGAAAGUAAAUAUAUAGCUGUGGUUAAUAAUUUUAGUGAUACAGAAAGGAUAAAAUCAGAUUUGGAGUUGCUUGGUGCCUUCAAUUUGAAAACAUUAUACAAUGUAUUUAAUGAAACUAUAGCUCAUUCUCCCAAGUCCGAAACUAUUGAGACUAAAAAUGAUCAGAGUUCAAUAGAUACUUUUAUAUCUAAUAUUAAGUCAACUAAAGUUGAGUCAAUCUAUCCAGCUGAUCAUAAACAUAUACCAAAGGAGUUAACAUCAGAAGAAAAUGAAGAGUUGAUUAAAACUCAGGAACCACUACAAUCUAUAAAAUUACAAUCUAUAAAUAAAGAUUUAAAUGAAGUAGCUGUAGAAACUAAUCGUAUCAUUGAUUCAUCCAAAAAUUUAUCUCUGCUUCACGAGUAUAUACCUGCCACAAAAAUAAAGGGUUUGGAUGAUUGGGUACUCGAAUCCGAUCAUUAUGACUUUUACAAUAAAGCACCUGAGUUUAAAGUACAUAUUGUAAAAGAAUAUGUUCUUCCAUUCCCAAAACAUUUGCAUGCAUAUACUUUCGAAGGAGAAAGUAAAGCCAGGUUCCCAAAUCCAAAAAAAGGAACCACUGGUGUUCUAGAUUAUUAUUUGUUCGAUGGAGGAUCUAUAUUACCAAUAUUAGCCCUUGAUUUACAAUUAGGUGAUAUUGUGCUCGAUAUGUGUGCAGCACCUGGAGGUAAAACUUUAACUAUUCUUCAAACGCUUUUGCCUAAGGUGGUGGUGGCUAAUGAUAGAAUGGAGUCUAGAGUGAACAGAAUAAACAAUGUCAUGGAGCAGUACGUAUUAAAUUUAUGUGAUGAGCAAAGUUUAUUUGUAACAGAAAAGGAUGCUCGAGUAAUAGACGAGAAAGAUAUAUACAAUAAGAUUUUAGUCGAUGUGCCGUGCACAACAGAUAGACAUGUAUUACACUGUGACGAAAACAAUAUGUUUAAACCUUCUAGACUUAAGGAAAGAUUACAAAUCCCAGAACUUCAAUCUGAAAUUUUAACAAAUGCAUUAAAGUUGGUAUCAGUUGGAGGCAUUGUUGUUUAUGCAACAUGCUCCCUCAGUCCUAUACAAAACGAUGGUGUUGUGCACGUAGCAUUAAAAAGAGCAUGGGAAGAAAGUGAUUCCGUUAUGAUCGUAAAAGAUAUGACGGAAGCAUUGUCGCCUUUGAAGUGUAUCUAUAGAUUUGGCGAUAUUGAUUUAAAGUAUGGUCAUAUCGUUGUCCCUAGUCUCGGUAGUAAUUGGGGACCGAUGUAUUUUUGUAAAAUAGUAAGGGUACGAUAAAGGUAAGUGAGUCGAAAAUACAUUUUAAAAUUUAGGAUAACAUCUGUACCUGAACUUCAUUUUGUGUGAAAGGGCCCCAUUUUUUUUAUCUACUGUCUUUUUUAUGUACAGAUAAUAAAAUAACAGUUCUUAUUUUAACAUGAUAUAAGGUCGAAAAAAUGCGUAUUUAUAGUAAUACUGUGAUAUUAUAUACGUACGACAUUAAUAAAUAUUGUUUCAAGUC